AGGUUUUCCCUAGGGGAACCUGCGGAAGGAUCAUUGU
rnacentral:rRNA from 1 species